GCUCAGUUAGUUCAGUUGGUAGAACACUAGAUAUAUUUUUUUUUAUCAUAGAAACGCGGGUUCAAUUCCUGCACUGGGCU